rnacentral:rRNA from 1 species
CGUAGGUGGCAAGCGUUGUCCGGAAUUACUGGGUGUAAGGGCGUGUAGGCGGGAAUGUAAGUCAGAUGUGAAAUCCCAGAGCUUAACUCUGGAGCUGCAUCUGAAACUGUGUUUCUUGAGUGUCGGAGAGGAAAGCGGAAUUCCUAGUGUAGCGGUGAAAUGCGUAGAUAUUAGGAGGAACACCAGUGGCGAAGGCGGCUUUCUGGACGAUAACUGACGCUGAGGCGCGAAAGCGUGGGGAGCAAACAGGAUUAGAUACCCUGGUAGUCCACGCUGUAAACGAUGGAUACUAGGUGUAGGGGGUAUCGACCCCCCUGUGCCGCAGUUAACACAAUAAGUAUCCCACCUGGGGAGUACGGCCGCAAGGUUG